CUCUCGCUGGGUCGCUCGGGUCGGCUUCGGUCGCCGUCGCUCCCGCUCUCCCACCCCCGCCAACUGCUGCUCGGGCCUCGGCCGCUGCCGCGUCAGCCCCUCGCUCGUUUCAGCGUUCCUCCUGCUCGAUGCAGCGUCGGGACGACCCCGCCGCGCGCAAGACCCGGUCCUCGGGUCGCAGCGGCUCCAUGGACCCUUCAGGUGUCCACCCCUCGGUGCGUCAGACGCUGUCUCGACAGCCGCCGCAGCCUCUCCGGUCCCGGGGAGGCGGAGGGGCCAGCCGGGGGAGCGGCAGGGCCAACCCCGCCACGCAGCCGCCGCCGCUGCUGCCGCCCUCGGCCACGGGUCCCGACGCGACAGUGGGUGGUCCGGCGCCGACCCCGCUGCUGCCGCCGUCCGCCACGGCCGCGGGCAAGAUGGAGCCGGAGAACAAGUACCUGCCCGAACUCAUGGCCGAAAAGGACUCGCUCGACCCGUCCUUCACUCACGCGAUGCAGCUGCUGACGGAAGAAAUUGAGAAAAUUCAGAAAGAUUCAAAAAAGGAUGAUGAGGAGAAUUACUUGGAUUUAUUUUCUCAUAAGAACAUGAAGCUGAAAGAACGAGUAUUGAUUCCUGUCAAGCAAUAUCCCAAGUUCAAUUUUGUUGGAAAGAUACUUGGACCACAAGGAAAUACAAUAAAAAGACUGCAAGAAGAGACUGGUGCAAAAAUCUCUGUGUUGGGAAAAGGCUCGAUGAGAGACAAAGCCAAGGAGGAAGAGCUGCGCAAAGGUGGAGACCCCAAAUAUGCUCACUUGAACAUGGAUCUGCAUGUCUUCAUUGAAGUCUUUGGACCUCCAUGUGAGGCUUAUGCUCUCAUGGCACACGCCAUGGAGGAAGUCAAAAAGUUUCUUGUGCCAGAUAUGAUGGAUGAUAUCUGUCAGGAGCAAUUUCUAGAGCUGUCCUACUUGAACGGAGUCCCUGAGCCCUCUCGUGGCCGAGGGAUGCCAGUGAGAGGCCGGGGAGCUGCACCUCCCCCUCCACCUGUUGCAAGAGGCCGUGGAGUUGGACCACCUCGAGGGGCUUUGGUGCGUGGUACCCCAGUGAGAGGAGCCAUCACCAGAGGUGCCACCGUGACUCGGGGCGUGCCACCCCCACCCACUGUGAGGGGCACUCCCACAUCAAGAGCACGGACAGCAGGCAUUCAGAGGAUACCUCUGCCUCCACCUCCUGCCCCUAAAACCUACGAAGAAUAUGGAUAUGAUGACACAUACGCAGAACAGAGCUAUGAAGGCUAUGAAGGGUAUUACAGCCAGAGCCAAGGGGACUCAGAGUAUUAUGACUAUGGACAUGGGGAGGUUCAGGAUUCUUACGAAGCUUACGGCCAAGACGACUGGAAUGGGACCAGGCCAUCUCUGAAGGCCCCUCCGGCUAGGCCAGUGAAGGGCGCAUACAGAGAACAUCCAUAUGGACGUUAUUAAAAACAAACAGGAGGGGAAAAUAGCAGUUAUGAGCAAAGUUGUUACUGAUUUCUUGUAUCUCCCAGGAUUCCUGUUGCUUUACCCACAACAGACAAGUGACUGACAGCUCCUUAAGCCCUGCCAGAAUAGGCUCGGUGAUGAAGACGGAGAGCAGGUACGUUAAGGUGCCUCCAGUCAGGGUAUAGGCUGUGAAUGUCCACCCAGGUGGUGGUCUGGAGGGUGCUCGGUGGACUGAUCUUUUCUGGCAGGCAUUCAUUCAUCCUGAGAACAUCACUAGACUGUGUAUUGGUUUAAAGUCCAUACUAAAUUUACUUUUGUAGUGUCAAUUUAUAUCUGUUGAAUUUCAAUAAUUUAUCCUGUCAGUGUUCAUUAGUUAGACACAAGAAAGUGACUAACAUGAAUAAAAGAGAAUGUAUUGGAAAGAUGAUGUGAAGGCUAGGAAAACUGGCUUGAGAAUUGCAGUGGCAGCAGAAAACUGGGACAGUUUUCAUAAUUGAGAGGCAGGGGAGUGCUUGACUGGGCAUUGUCACUAGCAUAAGCAAACUUCCCUACAUUUGGCUUUUCUCCUUUUAGGUAGUGACCUAGUGGUUAGAUGCUGCUUAGCACAUCUGCCUCUCAUACUACAGUGUCUAGGUUCAAGUCCCACCUGAACUUUUUAGCAGCAUAUACCCCAGAAGACAGAAGGUGAUGCUUCAAGUACUUGGGCUCUGCCAGCCGUGUGGGACUCCAUGUAAUCUGGGCUGUAACCCUAGCUCCUUGUUUUGGCCUAGCCAACCCCAGCUGUUUAAGGGAUUUGGAGAUUGAACCAGAUAUGAGAUAACCUCCUUUUUUCUCUCAUUCUUUCCCCUUUCUCUUUUUUAAAGAAAGAAGAUUGAGAUUUUGGGGGCGUGUAUAAUGUCAGACUGGAUUAACUUGAGUCAUAUGCCCUUCCUUCACCAACAUUCAGUAAGAACUAAUUCCUCAGAAGGAAGUUGGGGUAUUAUUAGGAAAGAGAAGUGGAUGUGAGGUGCUAAAUAAAGAGCUAUGCAGUGAUAGCUUAUUUUGCAGAAGAAACUACAGGCUUAGGUCACUUCUCAGCAUUUUCCCAGCUCAUAGACUCAUAAGAAAGCCCAGAUUCCGUGUUACCAGGCCUUGGGCUCUUGACCCGGGCUCUACUGCCUGCAGCCUGAGGAGGGACAGUUCUCUGACCCUGAGUAGACCUGUUGUAGGGCCAUUAUGCUGUAGUAGAAGUGGGACAUGAAAUGUGACAAAGUAGGUGUAAAAUCUAUAGACUGCAUUGCCCAGUGACCCAAAAAAACUUGUCAUAUCUCGAGAAGGAAGCCAGUGACAGUGUGCACAUCACACUGAUUGGCCACUUCUAAGUGUGUACACGUGGGUAAGGCCAGCCAGUUCAGGGCUGUCGGUACGGGAGCCAGCCAGUAGUGUUCUUUCCAAGAGAACGACCCCAAAGUUUCUGGUUUAUAUUAGGGUCCCUGAACAGCCUAAAUUUUUAGGCUUAGGAUAGUACUAAGGGAGGGGCUUUAACCAGGUCAGCCUUGGAGGUUUGAGUGCAGCUCCUCAGAGCACCCUUUGAGCCUGCCUUCCAGCCAGCACCUCUGUAUGCUGGAGCCUUUCAGAAGAGCCAUGUGUAUGAAGGAUGGCUCUAGGCAUGCAGGAAUUCCUGCAUUUGCUAUAGCCCAUGUGGAUGGCUAGGGAAUUUAGUGGGAAAUUCCUAAAUGCAGAGAAUUUAGUCCAAACUGUUCCCGGGGUCUUUUAAAAAGAAAUGUGUAUGUUGUGUACAUGUAUCUUUAAGGUCUGCCACGUGAUGUGAUAGGAUAUAAUCAGGAAAUAAAAAGGUUAUGGUACUUCUCUCUCAUCUUGACGUAGUUAGCUACCUUUGUUUUUGUGGCAAGAACAGUGAAAAUCGAAUCCCUGAAGUGUGAGCACCACACACAGAAUAGUUGACUAGCUGUAGUCCUCGUAAUGUACCUCACAUCUCCAGACAGCAUGUUUGA